GGGCUUGUAGCUCAGUGGAUAGAGCGACGGCCUCCUAAGCCGUAGGUCGGCGGUUCGAAUCCGCCCAAGCUCGCCA
rnacentral:tRNA from 1 species